rnacentral:tRNA from 1 species
AAUGAAUUGCCUGAAAAAGGAUUACCUUGAUAGGGUAAAUCAUAUAAUAAUUAUUAUAUUCAUUA